AGGGCGUUGAUCCCUGCACCUCCACGUUUUGGCCCUCCACCCCCACACCAUGCUUUCUCCACUCUUCAAAUUUUUUUAAUUUCAAUUUUAUCCUUAAUAUUUUUACUCAUUUAUUUUUUUCUGGCAGCUACACCCCCACCCAUCUUUUUAGGAUUUCAUUUUCUUCUUUCAUUUCCGUUUCACUUCUUCUCCUCUCUCGUUUUCGUUUCUCCUCCAUUUCACGAUUUUUCAUUUCUUCCACCUCCACAUCCCUGCACCUCCUCGUUUCAUUUUUACGAUGUUAACAUUCGUUGUUGGACAACAGAUCUCGACAUUUGUUGUACAAACUCAUGUCAACGGAUGUCACCUUGCAUUCCCAUGGCACAACUCUUUCUCGACAGCCCUUCCCUCCCCCCUCACCUCAUCUCCCUCGAACUUUCGGUGCAGGACCAAGAAGAAGCAGUUGUUGUUCCA
rnacentral:lncRNA from 1 species